rnacentral:lncRNA from 1 species
UCACAUCUGAAUGUCGAAUGAGGUCGACACGACCUCAAUAUGAAGAUUCAUCAGAAGACAUUGCUGAUACAACAGAUGGCACUUCACCUCGACGGUUUGAGGAGACACUUCAAUUGAUUGACAAAAAUAUUCAAGAACUCAAGGAGAGCUUAGACAGCCCAGAUAUUUAUCUAUCAGAAACUUACAACAUACGGACCUGGGGUUUGCGGCAUGAACUAUGUGACGAAAAGUGGCAAAAAUCAAGACCACAUCUUUUACAAGCCAUGUUAACAAGCGGAAGGACACCUCAACAAGCUUGCCAACAGUGUCAACGCUGUUAUUCGAUGCAGAGACUGCCUCCCAAAGAACUGUAUUGCAGUAACUGUGAUGUGUCACCAGUGCAUCACCAGUAUGUUCUACACAACAGGGAGUCAUUUGUGGGAGGCUUUUACAAAGCCAUGUCACCGAAAUGCAUCGUUACAAAAGACAGCACUGGUGAACAUGUAGUUAGUGAGCAAGGUAUGUGACCGCUAUAUGGAUUGGAUUACAUUACAUAUCAAGUGUAAACUGUUACAAUUAAUAUUGAUGUCUGUUUUUCCAGAUUGUCUCCUACCAAUCGCUUUGCCCAACAAGAUUUGCUGUUGUGGUGCUGAGGAUGUUUCGGUGAAUGCUGGUCGUGCCAUUAUCUUCAUAAAUAUUAAUGGUCGCUAUGAUCUCUCCCUUCCUUUGGUAACCUGUAAGUCUUGCCUAAAAUCGUGGACACCUGAGGUCAAAGACCUUAUAUUAAAUGGGUACUGGCCUGGAACCAUUGAGUUUCAAACAGUUUACACUGUCGACCUGUUCAGUACCUUUGAAGACUUUAAAGUCACGGCACCUGGCCUAUCCAGACAGGCCUUUGUGAGAAUGCUGCAAAGCCGCUCAAUGCGUUCUGGCAGAGUUGGUACAAUAUCAGUGGACUGUUUUCAGCGCAGUUUUCUGGAAUGGACGUACUGUAGACAUGAGAUGGAAACACUUCUUGGAGAUGACCAUUUCUCCUGUCCAGCUUGCAGUCAGGAUAUGGUGGCAGUGUCUCUUGAUGGGAACAGGAAAAUGUACAGGUUUAAUCGCAACGGGUAAGUUAACAAAGUAAUUUAUCUUUUAAAAGACAAAACCUAAACCUGUCAGAGUCCAUUCAGUGUUUUUUGUAUUUUUGUAGGAUAAAUGAAAUCCAUAUUUUGAUUGUACAAAUCGACUAUUUCUGGCUUUUAUUAUCAUAAUGGAGGUCUAGGUGCUAUGUAUUUACCUCUAAGUGUCUACACUGACGAUUGUCAGACAAACGCACACUGCCUAUAUUUAGA